ACCUGGUUGAUCCUGGCAGUAGCAUAUGGUUAUCUUGGAGAUUAAGGCAUGGAUGUCUAGGUAUAAGUUAUAUACGGGGAAACUGGGAAUGGGUCAUUAAAACAGUUAUAGUAUAUUUGAUGAUGUUUUUAGAUGGAUAAGGGUUGGGAAACAGAGGUAAUACAUGGAUUAAAAGGCUUUGGGGUGGAUUUAUUAGGUAUAAGGCAAUCCUUUGGGGUUGUGAGGAGUCAUAAUAACGAUGGGAGGGGACUGUGUGUGGUAAAUCUUCAGUUUCUGGUCUAUCGGUUUGAUGGGAGUGGAUUGGACUACAUGGGUUUCACGGGUAACGGAGAAUUAGGGUUCGAUUCCGGAGAGGGAGCUGAGAAACGGGUACACUCACGGUAGGGAGGAGGGCGGUAAAUUACCCAUCUGAUUAAGGGAGGUAGUUACAGAAAUAUGGAAUUCGUAUUGCGAAGAUCAACUGUGUUGAAUGUAAACCGUUCUUCGAAUGCCAUUGGAGGGCAAGUCUGGUGCCCGCAGCCGCGGUAAUUCCAGCCCAAUAGUGUAUCUUAAUGUUGUUGCAGUUAAAAAGCUUGUAGUUGAAUUUCUGGGCGGGCCUGGUCAAACUUAUGUGGCGAUUUGGGGCCGUCAUCCGCGUUGGAUUCACAUUCGCUCGCAAGAGCAGUGUGCGGAAGGCGCCAUUUUACUUUGAAGAAAUUAGAGUGUUCCAGCAGGGCUAUGCUUGAAUAUUACAGCAUGGAAUAAUGGAAUAGGACAGGGUUCAUUUUAUUGGUUAUUGGACUUGUAAUGGUUAACGGGGACGGUUGGGGGCAUUCGUAUUGAAUAGUCAGAGGUGAAAUUCUUAGAUUUAUUCAAGACGCACUAAUGCGAAGGCAUUUCCCAAGGAUGUUUUCAUUAAUCAAGAACGAAAGUUAGGGGAUCAAAGACGAUUAGAUACCGUCGUAGUCCUAACUAUAAACUAUACCGACUAGGGAUUGCCAGGGGGAGUCCUCUGUCAGCACCUAAUGAGAAAUCAAAGUCUUUGGGUUCUGGGGGGAGUAUAGUCCCAAGCCUGAAACUUAAA
rnacentral:rRNA from 1 species